rnacentral:rRNA from 2 species
ACCCGCUGAACUUAAGCAUAUCAA